GAAGAGAGAAAUGACAGAUUUCAUGUUGUUUGAUGAUUAAGCCUAAUGCAGCUUUUUGUUCAGUAGCAUCGUGCUUUCUUUUGUUUUACUGCCUCCUUUUCAAGAAGUUGCCCAGAAAUACCAUGUACCUGAAGGUAGACCGCUCACCACCGAUUGUCCCUGUACCACUAACCAAAGAGGAGGGGGGAGACCAGCAGCAGAACGAGUAUCUGCUGAGCACCACAGAAAAUGCAGAAAAUACUGCAGACCAUCACUUCAUUAGACUUUUCUAAUUUUUUUCCACUCUACUUUCCUCAAAUAUUACAUCCUUUUUGCCUAUCAAUGUCUUCAACAUCGUCAUCAUCACAUCCCUUACAUACCAAUCGCACAUGCAUUAACACAUACACAUGUACACACAAAAACGUAUACCUUCCCCUCCCCACUUAUCUCUGCCUCUUUCUCUGGUGCAGAGCUAAUGUGCUGUGUCGGUCUAUUGAGAAAAGCCUGCAGCACUGUGCAGCACACUACAGUAUGAGCCUGUUCCAAUAUCACAGGAGCACACACUUACACUCUAUUGGGCUAUAUAGCCUUUUCAGUUUGAUACCCUCAACCACCACAUUAACUAGUGUCCACUGUUGACCAGACUGUGAUUCAUAUGUAAGGAGGAAAUGACUUAUUCUUGGUACUGCAAUCAAACAUGUUUUAAAGCAAGCUGAGAGGGGUAACGUCGAAGCCAAAAAUAAUCUUUGUCAGUGGUCGUUAAUAAAACAUGUCAGUGUGGGAUUAGUUUUUGCUAUCUGCCCGGUUUUUCCAACGUGGUGAGGAAGGUUGUUGCUGUUAUUUCCCUGACUCUCCAAAGAACGUAUUCACAGUCCCACAGUAGCUUGCCUGUGUAAGGGCAAGCCAGCUUCAUAGGUGGACUGGCCAUCUGGAGUAAUUGGCAAUGCCAUGUUGGCCAUCGCAAUUCACGGCUCAGGGCUGUUAUAACUUAAACCAAACAAAUCUAAAUAUUUUUUGUCGACCUGAUUUUCUUGUAGGAUAGUUGGCUAAUCCAAUGAAAUCUCUUCUCCUCUCUCCUUUUACCAAAGUUACCAGAUUUUGCCAUUUAAACUGAGGGUUAAAAGUGACAUAAUUAAAUAAUUAAUGAAAUGUCAUUAAAAAUUUAAGGAAUUUAUUGUGUAUAUAUAAUUAAGUUGUAUAGUAUUCCAUUAAAUUAUUAAAGUUGAAAGUUAAAACACAUGCUAUGUAUUAAUAAUUAAAUGUGCAUUUAUUUGUUUCAUGGUUCCUGUCCCUGCAGUUCCACCAUGAUUUAUUUUAUCUGUCAAACUCAUCCAUCAAAGUUGAGGGGCAGGGUUAAUUGAUGAAAAUGUUUAUUUAUUUUGUAUUACUUUUAUUUUUAGUUAACCAAAAUAAAGCCAAUUCUUUGAGGACUUUGAGACGGUUAUCCAUCCCUUCAUUACCAUUCAGCUGAAUUACUGUAAUGGACUUAAAAGAAGAAAAGCAAAACUAGAGUUCUUAAUAAGUUCAUAAAGAAAGCUAGAGUCUGGAGGAUGCCAGGGAUGAAGGAAGACCCAAAGAGCAUUGGCCAAAGAAGCUUGGCGCCUGAAGUACUGCGGCGCAGAAGAAGGGUCCUUAAGGUUUCCGUUGAGACCUGGGGAUGUUGUAAAGGCUCUGGAGCUGGGGAAGACGGCCCAUGUAGAGGAGCAGAGGACCACUUAGAGGCACUGAGGACACAUGUAGAGCACUGAAUCAGGCACUGGAGACAGAUGAGGGUCGUCCUCGUCCCCCUCAGAGAAUGGAGACUAAGGUCCUCAGCCAAGCUCAGGAGGCUGGAGAUCACAGUGGAGCGAGCGGUGCAGCCUGGAACCCUGGAGCAAUCUCAGCAGAUGCUGCCGCUAGAGCUGGCAAAGGAGAGGCUGUGGAGACAUUUCCUGUGGAUGCAUCAGACCAACCCUCUGGAGAAACUGUGGAGGCAUCAGGCUGACUCGCAGGAGAAGAUGUGGAGGUUUCCUUGCGGCGGUGGUGUCUGCGAUGAGAGGACAACAGAAUCGGGAAAGCAGAGGUAGGAGACAUAGGUGGAGUCUGGGAAGGAGUAUCAGAUGAAAAUAUCUGAGAUGAUUGAUGAUGGAAGGUGAGGAGCCCAUUUGUGUAGCACAAAAUUGCAGUGGGGUGGAAUCUGACUUGGAGUGGAGGUACUCUUUAAUAGUGUGUAAAAAGUUAAUAAAAAUCUCUUCCGAAAAGGGAUCUGCUGGGUCCUGUGGGCUUGUUUCUUCUAUAAUGUUGAGUGGUUUAUUGGUGGACCCAAAUACAGAUAGGCUGAGAUAUCAAGUAGAUGAUGCAGGUUUUAAUGAAAAAAAGAUGGUGAAACAACAAAACUUAUAGCCAUCCAGGUGAACACAAUAUCAGGAACCAGGAACACAAGGAGCACGACGAGGGGAAUAGACGGGGUACACCGGGUGAACCAGCAAGGAGCGUGAGCAGGAGAAAGGUUUAGAUACUGGUGAGCUAACAGGUUGCUGGUGUGAGGGGAGACAGAGAAACAGGAAGUGACACGGGGCAAGGGAAGGCAUACUGGGGACUAGGAAAUGAAUCUGUCAUAAAAGAAUAACUGAACAUAACGAACAGCAAAACUAGGAUAACUAAGAGAGGACUAGACACAAGAAAUAAACAAUAAACUAAAAUCAUAGUUUUUUGGAAUGGGGAACUUUUAUAAUGGUUUCAUUCCAGGGGAAGCUGACCUUAUAGACCCCCCGGUACAAAGAGCAGCGUUUCUCAAUUUUGGUUCUCAGGCACCUUAAUAUUUUAUUUAGAUGUAUUUCUGUUCCAGAACACCUGAUUCAAAUGGUUGCAUAACAUCUUCUAUACUGCAGCAGCUUGUUAUUCACUCAUAUAUUUAUGUCAGGUGUGUGGCGGGAAACACCUAAAACGUGAAGUGCAGUGGUCCCCGAGGUCUGGGAUUAAGAAACAUUGGGUUAGAAGCAAGAAAGGGGACUAACAGAUCCAGUUGACUCCCAAGAGGGUACAGGCAUUCAACAAGGCCCUGGCUAAUGGUGUGAUUUUGGCCCAAAAUGGGGAACUCCUUUGCAACCAAAAUCUUAGCAUUAAAACACGAUGUUGUUUCAGUUCAGUUAGUUUCUCCUGCUCCUCUACAGUCAUGUCCUUUCCAAAAACUGAUGAUGAUCUAAAUGGGCCCCUAAUCCAGUCAAGGCAUUCAGUGAAGGAUGAAGACAAAUAAAAUGACAACUUUUCUUUUAGAAUCUUCAGAUGUUUAACUAUUAUCUCACAGUGCAGCAGUGUUGGCAUCUUGCUGUUUCUCUGUGAGUGGAAACAUCUCAAGGUUAGUCCUUUGGACAUGUCAUGUUAUUGUCAGAAAUCCAUUUUCAAACAGAAUGCACUUAUUUUAUCUGUGCUUGACAGCAAGUUCUUAUGUGUUCAGUUCAUUCAGAUGGUGAAAUAUAUCUGCCAUACCAACCUUUAACCCCACCCCUCAUUAGCAUUUGAAUAUUCAGACCUGUCAUUUGUAAAAAAAAAAAAAAAACUCUUUAAAUGUUCGUCACGUAGCUCAUACUUGCGGUGCUUCACCUUGCCCCGCAACAACCACAGACCUCCAUAUGGAGCAAGAAGGCUUUAUGCUCUUCUCCCAUUUCAUCACACAAGGAUGCAAAUGUGCACAUUUUCACAGAUUGGAUCUUAACAAAGUUCACAAUGUGUACAACAUCAACUAUCUAAAUGCCACUCUGUAUUUCAAAAUCAAAAUUUUUUGUUGCUGCUACUCCAUAAGGUUAAAACUAACAGCCAUAAUAACACUGGUGUGAUAUAAGCUAAUUACAAACAACACUAAUGAUAGUAAGUAUGUUACAUACAUAGAGUAGCUUUGGAAUGACAUGUUGAUAUGGUGGGGACAUAUUAAGUUAAGUAUUGUCAUUUUAGAUGGACAAUACUUAUUUCACGGAAGGUUGUUUAAGAUGCGCUGAAUGGCUGGUGUAAAGUCUCUAUAGAAAACAACUGCAGACCCGACUGCAGAUCACUGUGUAUGGCAGGCCAUUUGAACAUAAAUUCAGUUUUACUGCAUUUACGUUCAAGACAUCUGAAAUUGGGUUAUGAGUAGACAUAUUAGGAAAUUAAGAUAUAUGUGAAUAUAUUUUUACUAGACAAAAUACCUAUUUGUGAUAUCUCUAAAAACAUUCUGACUAGUUGAAAUGACAUCAGAUUUACCACUGGGUUAUAUGGAGCCUUCAAUUCAAGAUAUGUACAAUGAAUUACUCAAUCUCAAAACUAAUAUUUCUGAUAUGUACAAUAAUUUUAUAACUAGUAAUAAAGCUGACAAACUUGGUAUUAGCAACAAUCUUACCACUCCUGGAUUAUGGACAUGUUUUGUAUAUGAAUGCUUGGACCAAAUGGCUUCAAUCCUUGAAUACUGUCUAUCAUUGUGCUUUAAGGUUUGUAACAGGUAGCAGAUGUUUUACACAACAUCAUUGUGAGUUGCAUGGGCUCCUUUAAGCGUACGGAAAUAUCAGUUACUUGAUGAUAUGAAAGUCAUCAAGUGUAGAUUUAUAAAAAUACUCGGCUUGGCUCCAGUUUAUUUAAAUCCUCUCCUACAACAAACUGUUACUGCCCAUUCUUUAUGCUCCAGCAACAUUUCCCUUACAUGUUCCAUGUGUUCGAAGAAGAAAAAGGGAAGCAAACAAUCAGUUCCAGUUUGAAUUUAAUAUCUCAGCUCUUAUUUCAUUGUACUUUUUUUAAGCAGUUCUUAAAAACAUGCAAAAUAUUCAUAUCAAUUAGUGCCAUUGCUUUUAAACUGUUUUGUAAUUUUCUUUUAAAUUUGUGCAUAUGUUUUAAUUUAUUUUACUUUUGGGUAACCAGGUUGUUGUGCAUAGCAGGUGUCUCUCACUCUUAAAAGGAGAUCUAGAUGUCAGUGUGGUUUUACCUAGCUAAAUAAAUUUAACAGAAAAUUCGAUUUUUUUUAUUUUUAUUUUUUUCAUUACGGCUUGUCAGGCAAAAGCGAAUUUAUGUUAAACUGGCCUGCCAUACUCUGAGGCUUCAUAGAAUUGUAUGGAGGAAAAUGACUCCAGAGCAGGCAGCACCCUCUCCUGUACGGUUAGUUGAAUUACCUUUAGGUCUCAGUUCUGCUCCAUCUGUGAGACUGCUGGUGCAAAAUAAGAGAAUCGAUGAAUUCAACGAGAAACAUGGCUUAAUGAUCCUCCAGUGCAUAAUCAAAAUCAAAAAGUCAUUUUUUAUUUUUCAAAAGUUCUGUGUCAUGGCAAAAUGGUGACAUGCAAGCAUUUUUACAAAAAUAAUAUAAGGAGUAAUUAAAGUGGAUGGAAUAAAAAA